rnacentral:rRNA from 1 species
GCAUUAAGCAUAUCAAUAAGCGGAGGAAAAGAAACCAACAGGGAUUGCCCCAGUAACGGCGAGUGAAGCGGCAACAGCUCAAAUUUGAAAUCUGGAGCCCCCCGCGGGCGCCCGAGUUGUAAUUUGCAGAGGAUGCUUCUGGCGCGGCGCCUUCCGAGUUCCCUGGAACGGGACGCCAUAGAGGGUGAGAGCCCCGUCUGGUCGGACGCCAAGCCUGUGUGAAGCUCCUUCGACGAGUCGAGUAGUUUGGGAAUGCUGCUCUAAAUGGGAGGUAUAUGUCUUCUAAAGCUAAAUACCGGCCAGAGACCGAUAGCGCACAAGUAGAGUGAUCGAAAGAUGAAAAGCACUUUGAAAAGAGGGUUAAACAGUACGUGAAAUUGUUGAAAGGGAAGCGCUCGUGACCAGACUCGGCCCCGGCGGAUCAUCCGGCGUUCUUCGCCGGUGCACUCCGCCGGGCGCCGGGCCAGCAUCGGUUCGCGGCGGGGGAUAAAGGCGUCGGGAACGUGGCUCCCCCGGGAGUGUUAUAGCCCGGCGCGCAAUGCCCCGCGGCGGACCGAGGUUCGCGCAUUCGCAAGGAUGCUGGCGUAAUGGUUACCAGUGACCCGUCUUGAAACACGGACCAAGGAGUCGUCCUCGUAUGCGAGUGUUCGGGUGUCAAACCCCUACGCGCAAUGAAAGUGAACGCAGGUGAGAGCCUCGGCGCAUCAUCGACCGAUCCUGAUGUUCUCGGAUGGAUUUGAGUAAGAGCAUACGGGGCCGGACCCGAAAGAAGGUGAACUAUGCCUGUGUAGGGUGAAGCCAGAGGAAACUCUGGUGGAGGCUCGCAGCGGUUCUGACGUGCAAAUCGAUCGUCAAACAUGGGCAUGGGGGCGAAAGACUAAUCGAACCUUCUAGUAGCUGGUUUCCGCCGAAUG